AGUAACCGAACAUAUAUACAGCAUGGUCAUUCCUCUCCUCCGUCUCCCCUCAUCGGUGAACUUGGGUUGUGGCUAUCUGGGUACACAAUGUACGACCAUGCUUUUGAUGUAAAACAACUGCGCAAGAGACGGAUAGAAACAGGGGGGCGAAGAGAAGAAGGGGGGACGUGUGUAUCGUGUGGUGUUGCACAAUAUUCAUCUUCAUGGGUCCUUCGCUUCGCGCAAUGGACACGCAACAUCCCUCCAUUUAUCGUUUCAGCUCGUUGCGCACACUUGUAAAUUAGCUGCUCUUUUUCUUGCGAUACGACCUCUUCGCAGCUUCGGCCCCUUCCACAGUAACUAUUUCAAGUUAAAUGAGAUGACAGAAGAGUAUUAAUAAGACUGAAAAACACAACAUUUCCUUUUCUCAUAAACUGAAAACUACUGACAAUACUUUGAUAAUAGUCAAAGUAAUUCUCUCAUUCACAACUACUACUCUGAAAGUUCAGAUGGAUAAGAAAAAGAAAAAGACAACACCUGCCCCAAGACUAGAGAAAGAAGACUUGACAGAUGACAGGAAAAGAACAAGACAAUCCAAAAGGGCUGAACCAGAAGCAUCCUCAAAGACUAAUAACAGUGAGUUUAUGCAGCAGCUGAAUAGGUCAGAGGAGUUAACAGAUACAAAGUGCGAUCAGUCCGAUGGAAAUGUAAGAUUGAAAAUAGGAGUUGGAGCCAAACGGACAAAAAAGCCCCCAAAAAGUCUUGAGAACUUCAUAUGCAGGCCCACAAUCAGGAUCUCUCAGAGGCUUUCCCAUGGAGAUGGCCAUAGUUCAAGUGUGGGUGAAGUCUCAGAUUCUGACUCCAGAUUGGCCAAGAAGUCACAUCGAGAUGUUCAGAAAAAAGAUUGCCUUUCUACAAAAGGUUCCAAAAAAGUCCUUCCCACUUCCAAAAAAGGGGACUCUACACCAGCCAUUGCUGCAUCUAAAAAGGCUCCAUCAAAAAACACAAGGAAGACCGAGUCAAAGUCAUUAUUAACAUCAGAUGGCCCUUCAUUAGCAGUUCAACCACAGACAGAUAGCAAAGUACCACUUUCAGAUAAAAUAACCUCCUCCACCUUUUUGAAGCAGACGCAUUCCCCUCCAGCUGCACCUUCGCCGCCUUCCUCAUUACAACAAAACUCCAGUCUACAAGACAGCACACAAGUUUUAAAUGCUCAAAAAGAAAAGAGUGAUGAUCUCCCGACUGAGGAAGCAAUGACCUCCUCCCCUAGUUCAGAUAGCUCAAAGAAUAUGACACAGAACACUCAGAUAUCUCAGCAGUCUUCUUCCAGCCUUGAAACUCACCAUGAAAGCAAGUCAUCUCCAAAAAGAUGUAGUGAGAAUUCUCUAAGGCAAACUCUCCGUCCUCCAAAAAAGACUUCUAGAACACGGGAGACAAAUGUUGACAGGGUUUUGAUUGCAAAUGAGAAAGAGGAUGGUGAUUAUGCAUCUUCCAAAAACAUGUCUAGCAACAAUACUAACAAUAGGAGUAGAGAAAAUGGUUUACUGCAUCAGCCUAGUCCCUCUGUCAAUGCACCAUUGCUUCCUCCUGCCACAGAUAAAUCUGCAGAAUCAGCAACUUCUGAGAACAGCACUAGUGUACCAGAGUUACCGGAGAACAGAGAAAGGUGCAAGAAGCACAGUGGAAGUGAAGUCAUAGAUGACUCCCAAAAAGUGACUAUGGAACCGGCUCAAACUGUUGCUGUGCAGUCAAAAGAUGUCAGCAGAGAGGGGCAUGUCAUUGAAAAGAAAAAGAAAAGAACUAGGCGUAGUUCAAAUCAGGAAGAAAAUGUGAAAUGUUCCCCUCGAACUCCCAGCUGUGCAGAUUCUCAGUUUAACAGUUCUGCUCAAAGUGAAGAGCCACCCUUACACCCCAAACAAGACACCAUUUCACAAAGGACACAAAAAUCUGUUCAGAUUUCAAAUAUAGUAAAUCAGGGGGAGAAUAUGGAUUUGGGAGCUUCUAAUGUUAAUCCCACUGCCUGUAAAAUUAUACCUCAAAAAUCAAAAGGUAAAAGAGAUCUUUCCAUGAAGUCCUUGAAGAAAUUGCCAUCAAAGCAGGGUAAACAAGACCCAGUCAGACAACCUCUUAAAUCAAAAGAACUACAAAAAACAUCCCCAAGAUCAGAAAGCGCGUUCAUUGAGGUCCCUACUAAGAGAAGGGGUCGACCAAAAAUAACUAGGAUGGAUGAGUCUCCUCAGGGAAGUAAGUCUCAGCAGUCUUCUACUAAGUUCUCUAUACUUGAGCACUCAAAUGUCCCUAGGCCAGAAGAUGGCUUGAAACUCCCAAAUCCAACACCCAAAAUACAAAGCCAUCCAAAAUGUUCCCUGUCUGCUCAGACUAAAAAAUCUAAAUCACUACACUUAGCAUCAGGAAAGACAGGUGCUGAAGGAAAACUCAAACCUUCAGUGUCCAGAGCUAGAGAUGCACAAAUCUGCCGCAAACGAAAUAGGUUAAUAAUGAGGUCAAUUAUCAAAAAUAUCAACAAAAUGAGAGUGAAGAGGAAAGAUAAAGUACUCACGCAGUUUCUAUCAGGGCAAAGCCAAACUUGCACAACUGAUUUGGCUCAAAAAGACAAUAAAGGGGAUGCCGAAUGUUCAGUGUCCGAAAGUGCACAAUCUUUAUCCUCACUUGUUACAUCUUUUGGGGGGAAACUUGGUCCUCAAAUUAACGUCAGCAAACGUGGGACAAUCUACAUAGGAAAAAGAAGAGGUCGUAAACCUAAAGCUCAAAGGGAAACUUUUGGCCAAGACUCGGACCAAGUUCAGAGUCCAAAGACUCCGCAAGUCUCAACAGAAUCUUCAAAUCAGUUAAAUUGGUCCACCUCUGGUGAACAGAGUCAUUCAUUUGAUGGCCAAACUGCUUUGCACAACUCCCCCUAUUCAUUUAAACAACUCAAACCCUCUUCUUCUAGUAUUAGUUCUUUCCGGAGAAAACUUUAUCCUGGCAACCGUAAAUAUGAUCAACAUUCUUCUCCAAAGGUAACAAAUUCCCAAAAGUUUAAAGCAUUGCCUGAAGAGAAAUCUAAACAUCCCACCUCUUCACAGCCAGCACCUUGCCCUUCAGCCACAUCACAGUUAGGUUCUGUAAGGAUUCAAAAUCACAGAGCAACACACCUUGCACGAUCAGUCCUGAUGGAGCAAGAAAGGCUCAAAUACAAGUGUCAUAGAAAAGGACAUAAUUGCUUUAGCCACGAUAAGAUUAGGAGACAUAAACACAAAUGCAAGAAAAAGUAUCUUCAACUCAGGGCCAAACGGCAAGACCCAGCAUUUCUGGCAGAGGUUGAGGAGUUAGUGGUCAGGCUUAGUGAAAUUCAUAUUGUGCAUCAUCUUUCAUCUCGGGGUUGUGGGGAUGAAGCAAAAUCAGGAAGAAAGAGUGGGAAGGGCAAAGCUCACCCUCACGUUCUAAAGUGUCUGCCGCAAAACCUUCACCAUCCAACUAUGUUUCAAAUCAACUUCAGUGGUUACUACUCUCCUCAGUCAGAAUUUUCUCGUGACUCUCUGCAUUAUGUUGGCUUGGCAGAUUUUAAAAGGAACAAUGGCUGCCCCUCACAACCAGGUGAACAUAUUGUCACUCAUUGUCCAGUAGUACAUAAACUUGGCUUCCCACUGUCAGCAGGUGGUUGUUACCACUCGCCCUACAAAAUGCCUCUUCCUACCACUUCGUUUGGUUUUGGACUCUAUAGAGGAUACCCUCCAUCUGCAACUAUUUACCCCUCAUCACCAUUUUUACCCUCAUAUGUACAUCCCUACUCCAAAAAUCCAAUUUUAAGCCCAUCAAAGUUCCAUAAAAGGAAGCACAAAUUUCUAAGGCGUGAAUCUGAAGUUUGUCAUGGGAAGCCACAUGGGACUUACACUAAUCUAACAUCUCAUUCCUCUAGUGACUGGUUCAGUAGAAAUAGCUGGCAAAGAGAAGAUGACAGAGAGCAAGGUAGAGAUAAAAGAUUUGUGGAUGAUAGGUUUAGAGAAAGAGAAGGACUAGGCGGUUUGCUUGGACGAAGUAACCCUAGAAAAGACCAUUUCAGAAGGGGACUAGGUCUGUCAACAGAUUACCAAUGCUCUACCUCAGCACCCUCAAAACAAGCUGACAAACACAAAACUUCACCGCUUUCAUAUAUCGGACCUGCGCACCUAAGACCAAUUUCAAAAGUGAGGUGGGCAGAGCAUCGGCAGCCAUGGAGGUGGAGAGAGAGUGUUCAGGUAGAGUCGAAGAACAGAGGCUCAAUCCAGGAAGGUGGAACAGGAUACCAGGAGGAUGAGGAUGAAAUUGAUGAAGAUCAACCAUCACCCCCGCCAGUUGACAGAAGCAUCCAACAUCACACUUUCCUGAGGAACAGCAAUCUUGCUAGCACUUCAUUUAGUCAAAUGACAGCCCAAAGGAGUGUUGGUGAAGUUCAGUGUGCUGCUAGAAACUUAAUGACAGCUGGAAGCUUGUUGAUGGAGUCUUGCUCAACUGGAGUAAAACGAACAUCAGAGAGCUUCAAGCCCGGAGGUUCACUCUUCAGUGAGCACUAUUCCAACGCAAGUCUUUCUUUUAAUGAAGGCCAAGAAAGGGGAGCACGGGAGAAAAGACCCGGCAUCAGCAAAACACACUUUCAGACCAACGAUAUCAGGCUUUUUUCCUCUUGUUCUGCCACCAAAAACAGCCUUUCUUGUUUCGGUAUUUCUAAAGACUCAACACCAGAGAAGGAGAAACUGAAACAUGUCUCGAAUCCUCUCAGGAAAAAGAGUCCCAAAGGUCAAGCGGUCACAGGAGGUGAGGUGAAGAGAAGGGGAAGAGGGCGACCACGAAAAAACCCUGCACCGUGCUUUUCUCCACCACCACCACCACCAGUACUUGUAGAUCAAGAAGUGACAGAGUUUCCUGCAAAACGGAAAAAAGAUGAAAGAGGUGAUUAUGCAGAGCUCAAUGCAACUGAGUACAUGGCUCAACACGAGAAACGAAAAAGAAAGAGAAAAAGAGAUGAUUCUUGGUGCAGCGAAGGGCAAUUAGACGAAGACGUAGCUCUGAGUCACAAGCCUUCACAAACACACAGCGACACAUUCUUCCCUUCCCAAGAUCCAAUCAGCCAAUCAGAGAGCAGAUCCGCCAAGGCUUCUGAAAAGAAAUAUGAGUGGGCGGGGCUUUACUCGGAUGUGUAUAAAAGCGAUAACCCCAAGAGUCUGUCCUCUCCAGUACACACAGACUGCCUUGAGUAUGAUCCUGAAGAGCAUGAGCACGGCCUGCUUCCUGCACCUUUACACGUAGGAAAGUAUCUGAGGCUGAAGCGGAUUGACUUUCAAUUGCCCUAUGAGAUUUAUCGGCACUGUGCACAUAAAAAGCAUUCUAAAAAGUCAAAGACCCCACAAAAGAUGCCCCCAUCCAAUGAGCCUGUCGAUGUAAUGUCUCACACUCAGACUGAAGAGAGUUGCUGUAAACCUCAUGACUGCAUUUCUGACAGCACUAACAAAAAUGACACAGACCAACAAACAACACCUACAGAAGAGCUUGGAGAAGAAGUAACUGGAACAGACAUUAACAACACACCUCCCAAUCAGUCCGAUCCUCCCAAACAGCAGGAGAAAGGCAGUGAUGCUGAAAAUAUCCCCUCCCCCCUCCUGAUGAUGCCCUUGUCUUGUGAGGAGAGGAGCUUCGUCUUGGAACACGGCGUUUUUCUGGUGAGAAACUAUGAGAAAAUGAGAGACAGACAGGGAUUUCUCCUGAGGGAGGAGAUGGUGGAGCGAGAGAACGGAAGCAGAGGAGAUGGAGAGAGACAGAAAGAGGAUCUUGAAGACACCAGCUCCAAGUCAGACCAGCGCCUGUCUCAGUGGAACCUUUGGUCUGGAAGCAGAGAGCGAGGCGAGGAGAGGUGCAGUGAACAGAGCCCAAACCUCAUGCAAACACUCCAGGGGAUAUAUGACGUCAUCGUCAGUCACAAGGGGUCAUCUGGACAAACCCUCGCCGCUCCCCUGCUGAACCUGUGCUCCAGAAAGAGAUCAGGCUCGGCUCCUGUUGAUCUCACUAUGUUGCAGAAGCAGCUGCACUCAGGCCACUAUGAGAGUCUGGAAACCUUUCAUUCAGACAUGCUGAAGGUGUUCCACUGCGCCGAGAAAUACUAUGGCUGUGAGUCGUCGGUGGGUCGAAAUGUGGGGCAGUUGAGGGAAGUGUAUCACGCUGCUCAUCAGGAGGCCUUCACUCGAUUCAGACACUUCCUGUGAGUGACAGAAAAGCACACCAGCGACCUCUAUCAGGACGCUGCUGUUACCAAACCCAGAGGCAUGAUGGGCCUUCCAGAAGGCAGAUGAUGCUCUCCGAUACCAAAGACCUGCUGUAUGUUGCACUCACAGUCGCACUGCACAGGUUAAGAGACAGCACUCCUGGAAAUGCCAUUUGUGAGCAUGAAGCACGGCUGAUGUUUGACAAUGUGAUUAAGUUGAAAGCACCUCGGCCUUUCUUUCUCUCAGGGAAAUUCGAGCGAAGAAACUGGAGACAUGAACAACAAAUCAACAUCUGAGACCAUCAUACACCCCAACAACAUGCAAUUCUUUCCAUUUCAGAUAGUAUCACCAUAGACUGGACAUAAGCAUGUUGGAUGGGAUGCAGGAAACCUUGCAAAGAGACGUGUGCUGCUGUUUUGGGUCUAAGCGACGAACAUGUGCAGACUGUUUUCAAUCAUUUAACAUCUCCAUUAGCAUACAGUACCUACAAGAAAAUGAACUUCACUGAAUGGACAGUUGUUUUUAUACAGUGUGAACAGAAUUGUGGUCUACAGCGUUCUUUUUUAUGUAUAGAAACCUCUUUCAGGGUAAUAAGAUAAUUGCGACUUUUUUCAUGCAGUUUGAGUUUAUAUCUCUGAAGGCAAAUUUUCUCAGAAUUCAAAAACUUUGUGGAAAAAAUAUCAAGAAAAUCAUCUCAGAAAUGGUGAUGAUGUGGGGGGGGAUAAGUCAGAAUUGACAUGCAGUUUGUUACAAAGUCACCUUUAUUUUUGUAUCUAAAAAUUUUAAUGUUUUUAUUUCUGAAUUUCUAAAAGUUUAAGAUGCGACAUGCAAAUUUGGAUUUGUAAGAGAAAAAAAAGUCAAAAUACUUGCUUAUUUUUUUAAGAAUUGCAAAAACAACAGAAAUUUUAGCUAAAUACAAAUGCGAUCCUGAGAGAAAACUCCAAAUUGUGAGUUGCAAACUCAAAUUCGCACUAGCAUCAAGUGAAGUUUCACAAACUAAUUUCGAGAGGAGCACGUGAUAUGAUUGACUGCAGCUGGUCUCUCAUUUACAAUCACUAGCUAGCCAAUCAGAUUAAUCCAAACUCACUAUAAUAGCCCAGCUAAAAAAAUACUCCCUUGUCUUCGUUUUCAGAAGAAACCCCCCUGUAAACCCCCCCAUCCACCCCAUCUUCUCCUUUUCUUCCUUUACCAUGGGGAGCUCUCGAGAACUACCUGAUCUCGUACUCCCCUUACAUGCUCAGUCAACCAGGCAGGAGCCCUGGGCUCAAUUAUCUCUGAGCUCAGGGUUCUCUCCCAGGACAACAUGCAAACCUUCAAUCAUUGAUCAAACAAUAUCUAAGUGUGAACUCUUGAAAUGAAUAAAGGAGGAGUUUGAUAUUUUUUUAAUUGUGUCCUUGAAACCAGCUUUCCUGAUUAAGUGUUUUGUGCUGAGGGUCGUAACAAUAAUAUAAGCAAUAAUGCAUGAAUGGUUUAAUAACGCAGCCUUAAUGUAAGCAAGGAUGUUUAUUUGAAAGGGAAUUUAUUAGCACUUUGUGCAGAGCUGUCUUGUGUUAGUUAUGUUUUUACUGGAGCAGUAAUCUUUAUAGCUUUGAGACUCACAGAAAUGUUUUAUAUUGAUGUAUUUUGUAAAUAAUGUAUAUUUGGAAAAUGAUGUUUUAGUAUGGUUUAAAAAACUCUAUUUAGUCUUAAAUUGAUGUGGGUAAUUCAUGUUUUUCAUGUCUUUAAUAAUAUUUUUAUGAACAGUUUUAAGGUGACUACUGUAGAUGCAUGCGUGAUUUUAAACAGGACAUUUAUUGUUUGUAAAACAUCAGAUUUUUUGUGCAUGGCAUACUUUAUAUUGCUUUAUUGUGUUUAAUAGCUGUGUAUACUGCACACACACACAAUGUAUGCAACACAUUAUAUGUCUAUGCUGAACUAAGAAACUGGUUGUUGGAAGCUCAUUAAACAGUUUAAAGCAGAACAGAGGAAUUAAAGCAGCUACAGUUAACCUGCUAAACUUUUUUUAUUUGCAAAAAAAAAUGUUGACAUGUUUGUAUCGGUAUUUGUAUGCAAUACAGAAUAUGAAUUACAUUGUCAAUGAAAAAAAAUACAAAAUACAAAUAUUAAAGAACAUGAAAUAAACUUGUAAUGUAAUGUGUA
ensembl:lincRNA